GAGUAACACGUGGGUGAUCUGCCCCGCACUUCGGGAUAAGCCUGGGAAACUGGGUCUAAUACCGGAUACGACCCCCUGGUAGGUCAGGGGGUGGAAAGAUUUAUCGGUGUGGGAUGAGCCUGCGGCCUAUCAGCUUGUUGGUGGGGUAAUGGCCUACCAAGGCGUCGACGGGUAGCCGGCCUGAGAGGGUGAUCGGCCACAUUGGGACUGAGACACGGCCCAGACUCCUACGGGAGGCAGCAGUGGGGAAUAUUGCACAAUGGGCGCAAGCCUGAUGCAGCGACGCCGCGUGGGGGAUGACGGCCUUCGGGUUGUAAACUCCUUUCGACAGGGACGAAGCUUAUGUGACGGUACCUGUAGAAGAAGCACCGGCUAACUACGUGCCAGCAGCCGCGGUAAUACGUAGGGUGCGAGCGUUGUCCGGAAUUACUGGGCGUAAAGAGCUCGUAGGUGGUUUGUCGCGUCGUCUGUGAAAUCCCGGGGCUUAACUUCGGGCGUGCAGGCGAUACGGGCAUAACUUGAGUGGCUUAACUUCGGGCGUGCAGGCGAUACGGGCAUAACUUGAGUGCUGUAGGGGAGACUGGAAUUCCUGGUGUAGCGGUGAAAUGCGCAGAUAUCAGGAGGAACACCAAUGGCGAAGGCAGGUCUCUGGGCAGUAACUGACGCUGAGGAGCGAAAGCAUGGGUAGCGAACAGGAUUAGAUACCCUGGUAGUCCAUGCCGUAAACGGUGGGCGCUAGGUGUAGGGGACUUCCACGUCUUCUGUGCCGCAGCUAACGCAUUAAGCGCCCCGCCUGGGGAGUACGGCCGCAAGGCUAAAACUCAAAGGAAUUGACGGGGGCCCGCACAAGCGGCGGAGCAUGUGGAUUAAUUCGAUGCAACGCGAAGAACCUUACCUGGGCUUGACAUACACCAGAUCGCUGCAGAGAUGUAGCUUCCCUUGUGGCUGGUGUACAGGUGGUGCAUGGUUGUCGUCAGCUCGUGUCGUGAGAUGUUGGGUUAAGUCCCGCAACGAGCGCAACCCUUGUCUUAUGUUGCCAUCACGUGAUGGUGGGCACUCAUGAGAGACUGCCGGGGUUAACUCGGAGGAAGGUGGGGAUGACGUCAAAUCAUCAUGCCCCUUAUGUCCAGGGCUUCACACAUGCUACAAUGGUCGGUACAGCGAGUUGCCACACCGUGAGGUGGAGCUAAUCUCUUAAAGCCGGCCUCAGUUCGGAUUGGGGUC
rnacentral:rRNA from 1 species